CAACCCUCGAACCCCUCCGGGGGGUCGGCGUUGGGGAUCGGGAACCCCUAAGACGGGAUCCCGGCCCCGAAAUACAGUGGCGGUCUCGCCGCAGCCUCUCCUGCGCAGUAGUUUGCACAACUCGCACCGGGAGCGCGGCGCGUCCACGUCCGUAAAACACCCAACUUCUGAAAUG
rnacentral:ncRNA from 2 species